GAGCGAUCGCGUCAGUGGCAGACGGGUGAGUAACGCGUGGGAACAUACCCUCCGGUUCGGAAUAACUCAGGGAAACUUGAGCUAAUACCGGAUACGUCGGCGACGAGAAAGAUUGAUCGCCGGAGGAUUGGCCCGCGUUCGAUUAGCUUGUUGGUGAGGUAACGGCUCACCAAGGCGACGAUCGAUAGCUGGUCUGAGAGGAUGAUCAGCCACAUUGGGACUGAGACACGGCCCAAACUCCUACGGGAGGCAGCAGUGGGGAAUAUUGGACAAUGGGCGCAAGCCUGAUCCAGCCAUGCCGCGUGAGUGAUGACGGCCUUAGGG
rnacentral:rRNA from 1 species